rnacentral:tRNA from 1 species
GGAGAGGUGUCCGAGUGGUUGAAGGAGCACGCCUGGAAAGCGUGUAUACCGCAAGGUAUCGAGAGUUCGAAUCUCUCCCUCUCCG